AAACCGUAAAAGCAGUGAAAUCACAGGAACCACCUGGAGCACGUUGGAUUCCCUACAAAGUACGCAUCAUAUUAAGCAAAGUUACAUAUGAAGAAGCAAGACUCAAACUGCCAGAGGCUGAACGAUUCACAGAUUUGACAGAUUCAGAAGACUCUCCACUCAAACGUAGACGGAGAAGAAUGAAGAAGAAUGUAGUCCUUGAACAGGAAGACAGUGAAAGUGAGAGGCAGCAAGCAUCCACACUACCCAGCCCUCCCGAAAUGGCU